UCCACCUCAGAUCCAAACAGCUCUGGCUGGGCUAGGCGCCUCUCUCUCCCUCCUCUCUCUCUUUCUUCUCUCCAUUUUUGCUCUUUCUCUCUCUCUCAACCAGCAAAUGGAAAUGGAGAUAUAAGGAGUGGGGGCAGAGAUGGGAGUCAGACGAAUUCCACGGUGUCCUGGGCAAGGAGAAAGACAAACCCCUUUGCCCCUAAUAAUUAAAAGCUUCUCGGAGGAGCCACUUUCUGGCCAGAGCAGGAGGUGUGCAAGGGACUGAGAUCACUCAUCCUGGAGUAAGCCAGCUACCAUGUCAUGAGGUCACUCAAGCAGCCCUAAGGAGAGAUCCACGUGGCAAGGAACUGAGGCCUCCUCCCUACAGCCACAUGAGUGAGUCAUCUCAGAAGUGGAUUUCCAGCUCUAGUCAAGCUUCAAAAAACUACAGCCCUGCAGCCCCAGACAGCAUUUUAACUACAAUCUCAUGAGAGAUCCUGAGCCAGAACCACCGACCUAAGCCACUCCCAAAUUCUUGACCUGCAGAAACUAUGCCUUGAACAUUCUGUGGGCCAUUACAAAGCUCACAUCCUCUGUGCCUGUGGGGCUUCGUGAUUCAAACGGCCGUGACCAGGCCUGUCUGGGUGCAGGCUCACCGGCAAUGUGGUCAUAUGCAUCUUAUCUCCUAAAAGAAUCGUGAACCAGGAGAGGAGAAAUUAAAACAGUUUUAUGGACCCUUAAAAAUAUUGUGGGUCCUGGGUACCGUGCCUGUUUUGGGCUUAAUGGAUGUCAAGCCUGGUAAGAGGUCCACUGAGUACCUGUAGAUGGAUGGGAAGAUGAAGGGCAAGAACAUGAUAUUCAGGAUGGAGGUUUGCAGAAAAUCCUUCACUGUGUCUCCUUCCAUCUGUCCAGCCUGCCCUGAGCUUCCUGCUCUCAGCCGUGAUGAUUUCGGAAUCUCCAACUCACUCUGAAGGGUGGGAGAGAGUAUGUGGAGGGAAGCAUCAUUUCCCACACACAAGUCACCACAACACUGUAGUAACAGAGGAUUACAGUUUCCAAUUUUAAAGAAACAUUUAUUUAAGCACACUAACAGAAAUAUCAAGAAUAAAUUUUGUCCUUCACUACAAACAUCCCUGCAGAUGUCCUAGCAUUAGUCAUGAGAAAGACUGUUUUAAAAGAUGUUUACAAAGCUACCUUCAGAAGCUUGGGCUUCGCUGUCAUAAUAUUUUUCAGCUGUCGAUGAACCGAGUCUCCAUACUUACGAUCCACCGAGUCACAAAUAGAAAGACAUAAGAUUGGCAAUUUCUCCUACAAUAUUUCACAUUGGUCAUUUUCAGAACUUAUCACCUAGAGGCAAUGUAUUACAAUUUUCUUAGUCAGUACGGUUCUAAUUCACUUUCCCCUACCUUAUUCUAGGUAGGGGUCUGCAGAUGACCAGAAUCUCAGAUGGAAUUCUGAAAUUUUCCUAUUUUUUUCAAAAGAUAUUUUUAGUUCACUUUCCCCUAACACAGAGAUGCCAGGCAGCACAUUUAGCAAUAGACGGUGUGUGUCCUCGAACGAGAAUGGAGUGUUACAAAACUAGAGAUUGAGAAAUGCUCUUAAUAUUGCCAAGCGAACUGAAUUAUUAUUGUUGGAGAGGAAAAGUAAUUUUCCCUCUACCCUUCUAGGUUCUUGGCCAAGACUCCCCAUAAUUAAAAGACAGAUGAACAAGAGAAAAACAAAUUUAAUUACAUACCUAGGGGAGCAUCACAAAGAUGUGAGACCCACAGCCACCCAAGCAAUUGAGCCUUGUAUACCAGCCUGAGCUAAGGAAUGAGAUAGGAGCCUGGGGCUUCAAAGGGGAGGAGGGGAAUUCACAAGAGGAUACGAAAAGCGGGUGUUUGGUAAACAAAGGUUGCCCUGCCACACAGAGAGAAGUCUCUCAGAUGAUGAAGUCCUCUCUUGUAGUAGGUCUCUUCCUGGUACAGGCUUCCUUUCUGAUUUCUUUUAGGCAGUUAAGUGGGAGGCGGGGAGGGUAUAAAGCUUUUCCUGAGUCUGCUGGGUCUUGAAUGUCUUCAGUUUAAAAUAAUCCACAUGCCAAAGUGGCACAUUCUGGGGUGGCUUAUUCUGAACCCCCCUCAUUAUCUUAGAGCAGCAGUAGGCAAACUACAACCUGUCAGCCAAAUCCAGCCCACCACCUGUUUUUAUAAAGCCCAGGAGAUAGGAAUGGUUUUCAUAUUUUUAAAUGGUUGAAAAAAAGACAAAAGAAGAAUAUUU